rnacentral:rRNA from 1 species
GAUGAACGCUGGCGGCGUGCCUAAUACAUGCAAGUCGAGCGAACGGACGAGAAGCUUGCUUCUCUGAUGUUAGCGGCGGACGGGUGAGUAACACGAGGAUAACCUACCUAUAAGACUGGGAUAACUUCGGGAAACCGGAGCUAAUACCGGAUAAUAUUUUGAACCGCAUGGUUCAAAAGUGAAAGACGGUCUUGCUGUCACUUAUAGAUGGAUCCGCGCUGCAUUAGCUAGUUGGUAAGGUAACGGCUUACCAAGGCAACGAUGCAUAGCCGACCUGAGAGGGGGAUCGGCCACACUGGAACUGGGAAACGGUCCGAACUCCUAGGGGAGCAGCAGUAGGGAAUCUUCCGCAAAGGGCGAAAGCCUGACGGAGCAACGCCGCGUGAGUGAUGAAGGUCUUCGGAUCGUAAAACUCUGUUAUUAGGGAAGAACAUAUGUGUAAGUAACUGUGCACAUCUUGACGGUACCUAAUCAGAAAGCCACGGCUAACUACGUG